rnacentral:rRNA from 1 species
UACGUAGGGGGCGAGCGUUGUCCGGAUUUAUUGGGCGGAAAGAGCUCGUAGGCGGUUCGAUAAGUCGGACGUGAAAUCUCCACGCUCAACGUGGAGGGGCCGUUCGAUACUGUCGUGACUCGAGUCCGGUAGGGGAGUGUGGAAUUCCCGGUGUAGCGGUGAAAUGCGCAGAGAUCGGGAGGAACACCCGUAGCGAAGGCGGCACUCUGGGCCGGUACUGACGCUGAGGAGCGAAAGCGUGGGGAGCAAACAGG